CAAUAGCGUAUAUUAAAGUUGUUGCAGUUAAAAAGCUCGUAGUUGGAUUUCUGGUUGAAGCGACCGGUCGGGCGUUGAUUCGUCUGCACUGGAGUCGGUUUUGGCAAUCCUCUAGGAAAGUGCGUCUGGUAUUAAGUUAUCGGGCGUAUGAUCCUGGUCUUUUACUGUGAAAAAAUUAGAGUGUUUAAAGCAGGCCUUCGCCUUGAAUACAUUAGCAUGGAAUAAUAAGAUAGGACUUUGGUCUAUUUUGUUGGUUUGCAGACCGAAGUAAUGAUUAAUAGGGAUAGUUGGGGGUAUUUAUAUUCCGAUGUCAGAGGUGAAAUUCUUAGAUUUUCGGAAGAUAAACUUAUGCGAAAGCAUUUACCAAGGAUGUUUNCAUUAA
rnacentral:rRNA from 1 species